CCUACGGGAGGCAGCAGUAGGGAAUAUUGCUCAAUGGGGGAAACCCUGAAGCAGCAACGCCGCGUGGAGGAUGAAGGUUUUCGGAUUGUAAACUCCUUUUGUUAGAGAAGAUAAUGACGGUAUCUAACGAAUAAGCACCGGCUAACCCCGUGCCAGCAGCCGCGGUAAUACGGAGGGUGCAAGCGUUACUCGGAAUCACUGGGCGUAAAGAGCGCGUAGGCGGGAUAGCAAGUCAGAUGUGAAAUCCUAUGGCUUAACCAUAGAACUGCAUUUGAAACUGUUAUUCUAGAGUAUGGGAGAGGUAGGUGGAAUUCUUGGUGUAGCGGUGAAAUGCGUAGAGAUCAAGAGGAAUACUCAUGGCGAAGGCGACCUGCUAGAACAUAACUGACGCUGAUGCGCGAAAGCGUGGGGAGCAAACAGGAUUAGAUACCCCUGUAGUC
rnacentral:rRNA from 1 species